GUCCCUGUAGAGCAAUGGAUAACGCGUUGGACUUGAAAUUCAAAGGUCGUGGGUUCGAAUUCCAUCGGGGAUG
rnacentral:tRNA from 1 species